rnacentral:rRNA from 1 species
UACAGGGGGUGCAAACGUUGCUCGGAAUUAUUGGGCGUAAAGCGCACGUAGGCGGUUUGUUAUGUCGGAUGUGAAAGCCCUUGGCUCAACCGAGGAAGUGCAUCCGAAACUGGCAAGCUAGAGUAUGUAAGAGGGUCGCGGAAUUCCCGGUGUAGAGGUGAAAUUCGUAGAUAUCGGGAGGAACACCGGUGGCGAAGGCGGCGACCUGGGACAAUACUGACGCUGAGGUGCGAAAGCGUGGGGAGCAAACAGG